rnacentral:lncRNA from 1 species
GUUUAAAAACAAUGAAAGAAAUAAAAAGUGAAAUUAAUGCAAAUCUUCACUGGCCCCUAAAUGUACUCCUGAAACUCUCUACAUCUUGGAGAUUGCAAAGAGAUGAGAGGGUAAGUGAGCAGUUUUUAUAGAAUAACAAUGAUUGCUGGACUGCAGCAGUGUACAGUGACUUUCUCUGCUGAAUAACAC